AUGCCUGUACCAUAACCGACACAGGUGGGUAGGUAGAGUAUACUAAGGGGCGCGAGAUAACUCUCUCUAAGGAACUCGGCAAAAUGACUCCGUAACUUCGGGAGAAGGAGUGCCUUAUUUAUAAGGUUGCAAUAACAAGAUCCAAGCAACUGUUUAUCAAAAACACAGGUCUCCGCUAAGUCGUAAGACGAUGUAUGGGGGCUGACGCCUGCCCAGUGCCAGAAGGUUAAAGAAGUUGGUUAGUGUAUGCGAAGCUGAUGACUGAAGCCCUGGUGAACGGCGGCCGUAACAAUAACGGUCCUAAGGUAGCGAAAUUCCUUGUCGGGUAAGUUCCGACCCGCACGAAAGGCGUAAUGAUUUGGAUACUGUCUCGGAGAGAGGCUCGGUGAAAUAGACUUGUCUGUGAAGAUGCGGACUACCUGCACCAGGACAGAAAGACCCUAUGAAGCUUUACUGUAACUUGAAAUUGGAAUUGGACUUUGCUUGCGCAGUAUAGGUGGGAAGCGUUGAAGAUAUUCUUGCGGGAGUAUUGGAGCUAUCAGUGAGAUACCACUCUUGUAAUGUUAGAUUUCUAACUUUGAACCAUAAUCUGGUCAAAGAACAGUUUCAGGUGGGCAGUUUGACUGGGGCGGUCGCCUCCCAAAUGGUAACGGAGGCGUACAAAGGUUUCCUCUGAACGGAUAGAAAUCGUAUCUAGAGUGUAAAGGCAUAAGGAAGCUUGACUGUGAGACCUACAAGUCGAGCAGGGACGAAAGUCGGUCUUAGUGAUCUGACGGUACUGAGUGGAAAGGCCGUCACUCAACGGAUAAAAGUUACUCUAGGAUAACAGGCUGAUCUCCCCCAAGAGUUCACAUCGACGGGGAGGUUUGGCACCUCGAUGUCGGCUCAUCGCAUCCUGGGGCGGUAGUACGUCCCAAGGGUUGGGCUGUUCGCCCAUGAAAGCGGUACGCGAGCUGGGUUCAGAACGUCGUGAGACAGUUCGGUCCAUAUCCGGUGUAGGCGUUAGAAUAUUGAGAGGAGCCUUCUUUAGUACGAGAGGACCGAGAAGGACACACCGCUGGUGUACCAGUUAUCGUGCCAACGGUAAACGCUGGGUAGCUAUGUGUGGAGUGGAUAACCGCUGAAAGCAUCUAAGUGGGAAGCCCACCUCAAGAUGAUUGCUCUCACAGGGUUAACCUGGUAAGGUCACGGGAAGACCACCCGUUGAUAGGCACUCGGUGGAAGUCCAGCAAUGGAUGAAGCCAAGGUGUACUAACAGACCGAGGGCUU
rnacentral:rRNA from 1 species